rnacentral:rRNA from 1 species
UAAACUAGGAUUAGAUACCCUAUUAUUGUAAAUGUAAAUUAAUAUACUAAAUUAGUAUUAGUUAUUUUCUUGAAAAUUAAAAAAUUUGGCGGUAUUUUAGUCUUUUCAGAGGAACCUGUUCUGUAAUUGAUAGUCCACGAUUAUAAAUACUUUAGUUUUUAAUUUACAUAUCGUCGUAGUUUGAAUAUUUUAUUAGAAUUUAAAUAUUCAGAAUUUUAUAUUAAAAAAUAAAUCAGAUCAAGGUGUAGUUUAUAUUAAAGGAGAGAUGGGUUACAUUUAAAUUAUUUUAGGAUAAUUUUUUUAAAAGAAAUUUGAAUUUGGAUUUGAUAGUAAUUUGUUAAAUUUAUUUUAAGUGAUUUAAGCUCUAAAAUAUGUACACAUCGCCCGUCGCUCUUAA